rnacentral:rRNA from 1 species
UACGGAGGAUCCAAGCGUUAUCCGGAUUUAUUGGGUUUAAAGGGUGCGUAGGCGGCCUGUUAAGUCAGGGGUGAAAGACGGUGGCUCAACCAUCGCAGUGCCCUUGAUACUGAUGGGCUUGAUUACACUUGAGGUAGGCGGAAUGUGACAAGUAGCGGUGAAAUGCAUAGAUAUGUCACAGAACACCAAUUGCGAAGGCAGCUUACUAAGGUGUCAAUGACGCUGAGGCACGAAAGCGUGGGGAUCAAACAGG